CCUACGGGGGGCAGCAGUGGGGAAUAUUGCACAAUGGGGGAAACCCUGAUGCAGCGACGCCGCGUGAGUGAAGAAGUAAUUCGUUAUGUAAAGCUCUAUCAGCAGGGAAGAAAAUGACGGUACCUGACUAAGAAGCCCCGGCUAACUACGUGACAGCAGCCGCGGUAAUACGUAGGGGGCAAGCGUUAUCCGGAUUUACUGGGUGUAAAGGGGGCGUAGACGGCAGAGCAAGUCUGAAGUGAAAGCCCGCGGACCAACUGCGGGACUGCUUUGGAAACUGCCCGGCUAGAGUGCUGGAGAGGUAAGCGGAAUUCCUAGUGUAGCGGUGAAAUGCGUAGAUAUUAGGAGGAACACCAGUGGCGAAGGCGGCUUACUGGACAGUAACUGACGUUGAGGCUCGAAAGCGUGGGGAGCAAACAGGAUUAGAUACCCCGGUAGUC
rnacentral:rRNA from 1 species